rnacentral:rRNA from 1 species
GACAGGAGGUGCCGAGCGUUAGGCGGAAUCACUGGGCUUAAAGCGUGUGUAGGCGGGCCGUUAAGUGUCUUGUGAAAUCCCCCGGCUCAACCGGGGAAUUGCUGGGCAUACUGGCGGUCUUGAGCAAUCUAGGGGCAGAUGGAACAAGUGGUGGAGCGGUGAAAUGCGUAGAUAUCACUUGGAACGCCAACGGUGAAGACAGUCUGCUGGGGAUUUGCUGACGCUGAGAACACGAAAGCCAGGGGAGCGAACGGG